rnacentral:lncRNA from 1 species
CAUCAGCUAGUGUAGCAAUUUCUACUUCUGAAAGAUCUAAAGAUCGAUAAAUAUUAGAAUACCAAAAGUGAGGACCUCCUAAUUUCAUUGUUGGAUUUUGACAUAGCAGCUACACCAAAAAUAUGAGGGAUUGGAAAAAAAAAUAUUUUUUAAAUUUUUUUUUAUUUCAUUUAUUGCAAGUUCAUAAAUGUCUCAUCCCUCGCUAAAAUCAACAAACAAAUUAGCAAGUGCGGCAAUAUAAACUAAACAUUUAGAAAUAGUUGGAUAAUAUUGGCCAGAAAAAGCAUUUGUAGCCACAUGAAAAUGUUCUAAAAAAUCUAAAAGAAUUUUAACGUUAGUCCAAUCUUGUG